ACAGACUGAAAAUGACCCCGGGCGUGUCAGUGGUCUGGGGUCAGAUAACUGUGCCGACAGUAUUGUGGUGCCUUUAAGCUUAUUACGCGCCAGUCUGUGGCAUCGUGAUAAAACCCAGGCUCCUACAUCA